CGCCGCGUCUCCAUGAGAUCGGACGAAAGCAUGUUGGUGAAAGAUAAUUGGAUCUGCUCUGAUUAUCCUCAUCGGCCGCUGGAGAUCAGGUCAUCCUCGUUGAGUAGAUCCUCUCAGAGACACUCGUGAGGAAGAGCCAUGUGUCGUUGAUCUCAGAGACACCGAUUACUUCCACUUCGGUUUCUUGGACCUGCCCCACAGCAAUCUGCAAGUUUUACAAAAAAAUAAAAUGAUAUGAGCACUGGAAGUUUCUAGUGUUAGACUGCAUCCCUAUUCACUUGUUUAUACUACGCCCAAAAAGUAUGUACACUUAAGAGUACAUACUUAAGAGUGUGUAGAAAAAGAGCUGCCAAAGUUUGAGACCUACUACUUUGUCAUAAUUGCAACUAUUAGUUAUGUGCACCCUGUUAUCAUUUAAAGUGUGCAAUACAGAUUAGAGACCAGGUGAAUCAAUGUAUAGAAACGUUAUGUAGAUUUUCAUUAAAGCAUACUCAUGAAUAUGCUGCUGAGUCUUCUGGAGUCUCUAACCUGCUUUAUCUCAUCACAGUUAAUA